CAGAUGCAGAGGCUCUGGAUCCAGAAGCAGUGACCAACCCAGCAUCCGCAACGCGGUUUCUAAACACCAUUUACUAGUAAAAGCAACCAGGGUUCCUUGGAGAGAAGCGUUUGGUGUUAGACCCAGGGCAGGGAGAAUGCAAGAGGGGGCUAGAACGUCUGCCUUGUGGUGCCAGAAAAUUACGAAAGAGCUCAGUGAGGAGGGAGGCAUGCCAAAAGGCCAGCCUGGCCAGCCUUGGAGGAGCUCCUCAUGGCCAAGGCUGGAACAAUUUGGGCAAGAAAAUGAUAGUUUUAGAUCAUGCCCCAUAGAACAAAAUAAUUUCCCAUCGAAUAACUAAAUGAAUGGUGGGGAAGGGACAGGCUUUUCUUACAGAAGAAGUUUACUUAGUAAACAUAAGAGCAAGGAGGGAACGAGAAAAUCACCAGGAGUCAGACUCCACAGACU